CACCAUCUGAAAACAUGCACCCAUCUUAACCGUCUUGAAAAACGACGAUUCCAGCUGGGCGCGGUGGCUCACGCCUUUAAUCGCGGCACUAUGGGAGGCUAAGGUGGGCGGAUUGCUUGAGGUCAGGAGUUUGAGACCAGCCUGGCCAACGUAGUGAAACCGCAUCUCUGCUAAAAAUACAAAAAUUAGCCACUCAUAGUGGUGCAUGCCUGUAGUCACAGCUACUCGGGAGGCUGAGGCAGGAGAAUUGCUUGAACCCCGGAGGCGGAGGCUGCAGUGAGCCGAGAUCUCGCCACUGCGCUCCAGCCUGGGCAACAGAGCAAGAUUUCAUCUUAAAAAAAGAAAAGAAAAACUGUGAUUCCUCCCAACACCGUGGCCGUCUCUUUGCCUUCCACUCACUGCCAGCCUCCUAUUCUGUAUCCGGGAGGUGGAUACAAAUGGGUUCCGAAUGCCACUGGGCACAUCCAGUAGAUGUUCCCUUUAAAAUGUUUUUUUGAAUCCCCCUGCUUUCUCGGGUCACCAGUUCUGUCUUGACAAACCCAGUGGCUGCUGAGUCCUUCUUCUCCUUAACCCAACUCUCACAUGAAGCUCCUCCCUUCUGCCUGACUCUGCUUCCCUUUCUCUGCCUUCUCCAGCCCUUGGCCUACACAAAUGUGCCUGUCCUUGAUACAUCUCCUACCCCACGGCUUCAGCCAGCUAGUUCCACAUGAGUAUCUCACUGGAACUUCAAGCAACCUCUUCACUACCAACCUUGUCAUCCUUUCCUUCUCUUUUUCAGAACUGCCUCCCUCACUCAACUUCCCUGUUUUGAUUCACGGAAUGAUCAUCGCCUCUGCCCCUCGCCGGAAACCUUACGAGGCUUCUCCAAGGUUUCCCAUCCACUGUCAAUCACUUGGUUGUGUCUGAAUUGUUCUUCAAAAUGAUUCCUCUGUUGUAUUCUUUGCUUUCAUUUCCAUUCUUGUCCAGCUGCUUGUCUCUAAAUUAUAGCAACAUUUAAAAAAAAAAGUUAAAAAAAAAAAAAAAGGUGGCCAGACAGUGGUUUACGCCUGUAAUCCUAGCACUUUGGGAGGUCGAGGCAGGCAGAUCACCUGAGGUCAGGAGUUCAAGACCAGCCUGGCCAACAUUGCGAAACCC
rnacentral:lncRNA from 10 species